CCGAAUACAAAUAAUAUAGGUGCUGAAAAGUUAAAAGGGAAAACGGUGAAAGUCCGUUGCAGCCCCCGCUACUGUAAAUGGGGAUGAAACCUGAUAUGCCACCUUUUGGGAAGGCCAGGGAGUAAGAUGAACCAUAAGCCAGGAAACCUGCCUGUAUUAUGAAGCAUAA
rnacentral:ncRNA from 1 species